rnacentral:tRNA from 1 species
CUGGAUCACCUCCUUAAAGGGAGACCUAAUUCAGGUAGGAGACGAAAAAAAAGUAGUCGCUACCAAGAAUCAAUCCCAAAAGGUCGGAGCGAGGCGAAAUUGGCUUUCAAACUAGGUUCUGGGUUCAAACAAGACCUGAAUCAGGAACAAGGGCUAUUAGCUCAGGUGGUUAGAGCGCACCCCUGAUAAGGGUGAGGUCCCUGGUUCGAGUCCAGGAUGGCCCACCUGUACAGGUGGCAAAAACAAGAGAAGCGAGGAAUCAGCACCUUAUCUUACUGACAUAGUAAGAGAGAAUGCUGGCUCUGAGUUCAGAGUCCAGAGGAACCUUGAAAACUGCAUAGAGCUAGGUGAAAAAGCCAAAAAAGAAGACCGCAAGGUCAAGCUAAUAAGGGC